rnacentral:rRNA from 1 species
UACGGGGGGGGCAAGCGUUGUUCGGAAUUACUGGGCGUAAAGGGCGCGUAGGCGGCCGGCCAAGUCGGGUGUGAAAUCCCUCGGCUCAACCGAGGAACUGCACUCGAUACUGGCUGGCUUGAGUCCGGGAGGGGAUGGUGGAAUUCCCAGUGUAGCGGUGAAAUGCGUAGAUAUUGGGAAGAACACCGGUGGCGAAGGCGACCAUCUGGACCGGAACUGACGCUGAGGCGCGAAAGCCAGGGGAGCGAAUGGG